GACGAACGCUGGCGGCGUGCCUAAUACAUGCAAGUAGAACGCUGAAGGAGGAGCUUGCUCUUCUGGAUGAGUUGCGAACGGGUGAGUAACGCGUAGGUAACCUGCCUGGUAGCGGGGGAUAACUAUUGGAAACGAUAGCUAAUACCGCAUAAAAGUAGAUGUUGCAUGACAUUUGCUUAAAAGGUGCAAUUGCACCACUACAAGAUGGACCUGCGUUGUAUUAGCUAGUUGGUGGGGUAACGGCUCACCAAGGCGACGAUACAUAGCCGACCUGAGAGGGUGAUCGGCCACACUGGGACUGAGACACGGCCCAGACUCCUACGGGAGGCAGCAGUAGGGAAUCUUCGGCAAUGGACGGAAGUCUGACCGAGCAACGCCGCGUGAGUGAAGAAGGGUUUCGGAUCGUAAAGCUCUGUUGUAAGAGAAGAACGAGUGUGAGAGUGGAAAGUUCACACUGUGACGGUAUCUUACCAGAAAGGGACGGCUAACUACGUG
rnacentral:rRNA from 1 species